GUCUUCUUCAACUGUGCCAAAAAAAAUCUAGCAGAUGGACUGCCUAACCCUGAGUAUCAACACUGGUACUUCCAAGACCAGCUUGUUUUGACAUGGUUGUUUGCAUCUAUUUUUUGAGCAACUUAUGCCUCAGGUUGUUGGUUCCUCCAUGGCCAACGAAGUGUGGACUAAGUUAGAAACCAUUUUUGCAUCAGGCUCAAGGACGCAAGUUAUCCAGCUACGGAAACAAAUGAAACACCUUAAGAAAGGUUUUGAAUCAAUUGACUCAUAUAUGAGAAGGGCCA
rnacentral:misc_RNA from 1 species